UACGUAGGGGGCAAGCGUUGUCCGGCUUCAUUGGGCGUAAAGAGCGUGUAGGCGGCCAGGUAGGUCGGUUGUGAAAACUGGAGGCUCAACCUUCAGACGUCGACCGAAACCAUCUGGCUAGAGUCCGGGAGAGGAGAGUGGAAUUCCUGGUGUAGCGGUGAAAUGCGCAGAUAUCAGGAAGAACACCCGUGGCGAAAGCGGCUCUCUGGAACGGUACUGACGCUGAGACGCGAAAGCGUGGGGAGCGAACAGG
rnacentral:rRNA from 1 species